CGGCGAGCGAAGCGGGAAGAGCUCAAAUUUAUAAUCUGGCACCUUCGGUGUCCGAGUUGUAAUCUCUAGAAAUGUUUUCCGCGUUGGACCGCACACAAGUCUGUUGGAAUACAGCGGCAUAGUGGUGAGACCCCCGUAUAUGGUGCGGACGCCCAGCGCUUUGUGAUACAUUUUCGAAGAGUCGAGUUGUUUGGGAAUGCAGCUCAAAUUGGGUGGUAAAUUCCAUCUAAAGCUAAAUAUUGGCGAGAGACCGAUAGCGAACAAGUACCGUGAGGGAAAGAUGAAAAGCACUUUGGAAAGAGAGUUAACAGUACGUGAAAUUGUUGGAAGGGAAACGCUUGAAGUCAGACUUGCUUGCUGAGCAAUCGGUUUGCAGGCCAGCAUCAGUUUUCCGGGAUGGAUAAUGGUAGAGAGAAGGUAGCAGUUUCGGCUGUGUUAUAGCUCUCUGCUGGAUACAUCUUGGGGGACUGAGGAACGCAGUGUGCCUUUGGCGGGGGUUUCGACCUCUUCACACUUAGGAUGCUGGUGGAAUGGCUUUAAACGACCCGUCUUGAA
rnacentral:rRNA from 1 species